GACGAACGCUGGCGGCGUGCUUAACACAUGCAAGUCGAACGGAAAGGCCCUUCGGGGUGCUCGAGUGGCAAACGGGUGAGUAACACGUGGGUGAUCUGCCCUGCACUUUGGGAUAAGCCUGGGAAACUGGGUCUAAUACCGAAUAGGACCGCGCUCUUCAUGGGGUGUGGUGGAAAGCUUUUGCGGUGUGGGAUGGGCCCGCGGCCUAUAAGCUUGUUGGUGGGGUAAUGGCCUACCAAGGCGACGACGGGUAGCCGGCCUGAGAGGGUGACCGGCCACACUGGGACUGAGAUACGGCCCAGACUCCUACGGGAGGCAGCAGUGGGGAAUAUUGCACAAUGGGCGCAAGCCUGAUGCAGCGACGCCGCGUGAGGGAUGACGGCCUUCGGGUUGUAAACCUCUUUCAGUACCGACGAAGCGCAAGUGACGGUAGGUACAGAAGAAGGACCGGCCAACUACGUGCCAGCAGCCGCCGUAUAC
rnacentral:rRNA from 1 species